CAGUCGCCGCGGUAAUACAGAGGGUGCGAGCGUUAAUCGGAUUUACUGGGCGUAAAGCGUGCGUAGGCGGCUUUUUAAGUCGGAUGUGAAAUCCCUGAGCUUAACUUAGGAAUUGCAUUCGAUACUGGGAAGCUAGAGUAUGGGAGAGGAUGGUAGAAUUCCAGGUGUAGCGGUGAAAUGCGUAGAGAUCUGGAGGAAUACCGAUGGCGAAGGCAGCCAUCUGGCCUAAUACUGACGCUGAGGUACGAAAGCAUUGGGAGCAAACAGGAUUAGAUACCCCCGUAGUCCCUGUCUCUUAUAC
rnacentral:rRNA from 1 species